rnacentral:lncRNA from 1 species
CACCGAUCGACGGGCUGAAAGGUGUAUCGAUCAAAAAUUCAUAAUUGGUAUCGAUCGACACUUUUUCAAGACCAACAAGCGACAUCUGAAUAUAGAUCUGGCAAUAGAUAGUCUAAAUAUACGGAAGUUGAUCGACUAUUCUUUUAGUUUGAAUUCUAGAAUAUCCAACAUACACUUAGUCUCUAUAUCUCUAUAACCCUGAUUGUCUGAAUAGAAACUCUAAGUCUAACGCCUUUCAUAUCUGUUUCAAAACCCCAAUCAA